UAGGCUUUAUUGAAAAAAAGACCACCUUAUAUUUGGCAUCUUCACAGAGAAUACACAAUGCUUUUUGUACCACCUAAACUAGAACCUUUUUCGACAAUGUAUCGAUACCACACAUAUAUUCGACAAUAUCAGUAAUAUCGAUUACGCAUCAGACAACAAUUACUGUGAGUCCAUGUAGAUAACUACGCGUAAGAAAUGACGUCAUCAUGCACACGGGGAUUACCCAGUUGAGAAGAUCGGUUUGAAUCAUGGUUCGCCGUGAAACAUGGCUCAGUUCUUCGUUGGACACGACUGGAGACAGACGCACAUGUAUACAACCUGUGCCACUAACGCAGGCCGUUAAGCAUUAAAGGGAUGCUUGCCAACCGAGUCCAAGCCAUUUCCUAUGUGACAGCCCCCUCUUAUCGGUCUGUGGAUACUCACGAUUCAUCAUGAUACUGACCACUGUGUUAGUUGGACAAGAAGAGGAUCUGUGAACUAAACAAGCGACCAUCGAGAUUCUCUUUGUUGGAUAUACAUUUUUAGGUGUAUGGGACCCUGUUUUUUUUUGUUUCGAAGCUAAAUUCUAAAGGGAUGUUACCUGGAUGGCCAUACAACAGAUUUCCACAACGUUCACCCCUGUGGGCUUCUUGAAAGCAGACCAGACAAACAAGGAGCAAAGGCACCUCAUCCUCGCCACAGACCGUCAGAGCAAGUCAAGACAAUGGUUGGAUGGAAGGUGGUUAAACGGCCGUUUUACCAACCCUUCUCAGUGCAUACCUUCGUGCGGUCAAAGCAGGAUGUAAAGAUGAUGCCCUUACUUUUUGUAAUAAUCUCCUCACGAAAUAAAUCGGUCUAUGUGAAGGAUUUCAAUAAACUGCUUGACCUAC